CACCCCAGCACCAGUAUCCCAAUGUAUAAAACAAUCAGUUUCCUCGACCGAUUUACAGCAGCGGCGCUUCAAUGUAAUAACAUAAAAAACAUACACUCGUAAAUAACAGCAAGAAAUCUUGCCUUUCUAUCAAAGAGCAGUCCGAACAAACGACUCUUCAUUCCUUAAAUCCACAAGAACCAUGCAAGGAUGCGUUCUUCAGUGGUGUUGCCACCCCUCAUCAUUCUCAUGCCACCCCCUUGACACCCCAUAAUUCAUUUUCUAGAUCCGCCCCUGGUCUAUUUAACUCUCCUUUUUCUUUUCUCUGUGAUUUUUGGAAUGAGAAGACUGUCCUAUGAGGGGAUUCUGAUGAUGUGAAAGAGUUCAGGUGACAUUUGAGGUCAGUGUGUAUUAGAAGAAGAAGAAGAAGGAGAAGGAGAAGGAGAAGGAGGAGAAGGAGGAGAAAAGGUAUGUCGUGCUGUAUUGAGGGAGAUGAUCUGGGACGGGGAAGAAGAAGAAAAAGAUGGUGUAUUUAGUGCAUACAGCGACUCUGUAAAUAAAACCGAGGCGUGACUGACACCGUGACCAUAAAUGACGCCAGUGUCUCGCCUGUGGCGGAAGUCGCGUCGACGCUGGGACGCGCACUUCACGCACUUCGCGCACUAAACAGUACGCUGGGGCAGGAUUGCGCCCCAGGCAGCCGAGUCUCCAUGGCAACGCUGGCAGCCGCGUACUCGCAUACUACAGAGUGCGGGGAAACAGUGCGCAUGACUGCCGCGCAGGGAGGCUCGGAGCCGGGCGAGGACACGGGCUUUCUCCCCCGCCUCGAGGUUCUCAAGGUUUCAUCCGCCGGGGGAAAAAAGUCAACUCCAAGCUGCCAUUUUACUCCUCUAUCAGUCUCUGUGUCUCUCUGUGUCUCUGUGUCCUUCCUUACAUUCAGUCAUGAAGAUGUCCACCCUCAAACAUGUCCUCUGUCUCCCAUCUUAAUUAAUACAUCAAACUAAAAUAACUACAA